AGAUUGAACGCUGGCGGCAGGCCUAACACAUGCAUGUCGAGCGGCAGCACGGGUACUUGUACCUGGUGGCGAGCGGCGGACGGGUGAGUAAUGCCUAGGAAUCUGCCUGAUAGUGGGGGAUAACGCUCGGAAACGGACGCUAAUACCGCAUACGUCCUACGGGAGAAAGCAGGGGACCUUCGGGCCUUGCGCUAUCAGAUGAGCCUAGGUCGGAUUAGCUAGUUGGUGGGGUAAUGGCUCACCAAGGCGACGAUCCGUAACUGGUCUGAGAGGAUGAUCAGUCACACUGGAACUGAGACACGGUCCAGACUCCUACGGGAGGCAGCAGUGGGGAAUAUGGACAAUGGGCGAAAGCCUGAUCCAGCCAUGCCGCGUGGUGUGAAGAAGGUCUUCGGAUUGUAAAGUCACGUUUAAGUUGGGAGGUAAGGCAAGGUUAACCUAAUACGUAUUACUGGUUUUAGACGUUAACCGACAAGAAUAAGACACCGGACUACU
rnacentral:rRNA from 1 species